rnacentral:rRNA from 1 species
AGCGAACGCUGGCGGCAGGCUUAACACAUGCAAGUCGAGCGGGCAUCCUUGUGGUGUCGGCGGCAGACGGGUGAGUAACGCGUGGGAGCGUGCCCUUCGGUUCGGAAUAACUCAGGGAAACUUGAGCUAAUACCGGAUACGUGCGAGAGCAGAAAGGUUUAUCUGCCGAAGGAUCGGCCCGCGUCUGAUUAUCUAGUUGGUGAGGUUAUGGCUCACCAAGGCGACGAUCAGUAGCUGGUCUGAGAGGAUGAUCAGCCACACUGGGACUGAGACACGGCCCAGACUCCUACGGGAGGCAGCAGUGGGGAAUAUUGGACAAUGGGGGCAAGCCUGAUCCAGCCAUGCCGCGUGAGUGAUGAAGGCCUUAGGGUUGUAAAGCUCUUUUAUCCGGGAUGAUAAUGACGGUACCGGAGGAAUAAGCCCCGGCUAACUUCGUG